GACACUUUGGUAUGAGCAAGGAAUUGGGCCGGACCAGAUGACCUCCUGUGAUCCCUUCCAACCCCAACCAGCCCGUGAUGGUGACAACCCUGCGUGAGAUGCGAAACUUCAGCGGUGGCACUGGGGAAGUUACGGCAACAAUUGUAUUUCUGCCUGAAGGAGACGCUGUGCCCCGGGGAGCACCAUGAAGCAGCAGGAUGUUACAGUGGGCAGCCUUUGGGUGUUGUGCGAGGGCUAUUUCCAGAGACCUGAAAGAACUUCCUGACAACACAGGAACCACUUUAUCUCGGUGAUCCUCCUGCACCGGCAGCUCACCGCAGCAGUAAGCCCCUGCACAAACCCACAGGGCCUCGGUUUGCAUAAGGCUCUUUUCUCUGCGAAAUCCGGGAUGUUCUCAGCCAGGGCAUCGCUGUGCCCCACGAAGCACUGCUGCUGAAGGGUUAUCUCUAACACUGACAGCAGAAUGUGGUCUCCAAUGGCACUUCUCCCCGAUGGAUGAUGCACACAGCGAUGGCACCC
rnacentral:lncRNA from 1 species